rnacentral:rRNA from 1 species
GGGUUGUGAGGUUAAGCGACUAAGCGUACACGGUGGAUGCCCUGGCAGUCAGAGGCGAUGAAGGACGUGCUAAUCUGCGAUAAGCGUCGGUAAGGUGAUAUGAACCGUUAUAACCGGCGAUUUCCGAAUGGGGAAACCCAGUGUGAUUCGUCACACUAUCAUUAACUGAAUCCAUAGGUUAAUGAGGCGAACCGGGGGAACUGAAACAUCUAAGUACCCCGAGGAAAAGAAAUCAACCGAGAUUCCCCCAGUAGCGGCGAGCGAACGGGGAGCAGCCCAGAGCCUGAAUCAGUGUGUGUGUUAGUGGAAGCGUCUGGAAAGGCGCGCGAUACAGGGUGACAGCCCCGUACACAAAAAUGCACAUGCUGUGAGCUCGAUGAGUAGGGCGGGACACGUGGUAUCCUGUCUGAAUAUGGGGGGACCAUCCUCCAAGGCUAAAUACUCCUGACUGACCGAUAGUGAACCAGUACCGUGAGGGAAAGGCGAAAAGAACCCCGGCGAGGGGAGUGAAAAAGAACCUGAAACCGUGUACGUACAAGCAGUGGGAGCACAGAGCAAUCUGUGUGACUGCGUACCUUUUGUAUAAUGGGUCAGCGACUUAUAUUCUGUAGCAAGGUUAACCGAAUAGGGGAGCCGAAGGGAAACCGAGUCUUAACUGGGCGUUAAGUUGCAGGGUAUAGACCCGAAACCCGGUGAUCUAGCCAUGGGCAGGUUGAAGGUUGGGUAACACUAACUGGAGGACCGAACCGACUAAUGUUGAAAAAUUAGCGGAUGACUUGUGGCUGGGGGUGAAAGGCCAAUCAAACCGGGAGAUAGCUGGUUCUCCCCGAAAGCUAUUUAGGUAGCGCCUCGUGAAUUCAUCUCCGGGGGUAGAGCACUGUUUCGGCAAGGGGGUCAUCCCGACUUACCAACCCGAUGCAAACUGCGAAUACCGGAGAAUGUUAUCACGGGAGACACACGGCGGGUGCUAACGUCCGUCGUGAAGAGGGAAACAACCCAGACCGCCAGCUAAGGUCCCAAAGUCAUGGUUAAGUGGGAAACGAUGUGGGAAGGCCCAGACAGCCAGGAUGUUGGCUUAGAAGCAGCCAUCAUUUAAAGAAAGCGUAAUAGCUCACUGGUCGAGUCGGCCUGCGCGGAAGAUGUAACGGGGCUAAACCAUGCACCGAAGCUGCGGCAGCGACGCUGAUGCGUUGUUGGGUAGGGGAGCGUUCUGUAAGCCUGUGAAGGUGUGCUGUGAGGCAUGCUGGAGGUAUCAGAAGUGCGAAUGCUGACAUAAGUAACGAUAAAGCGGGUGAAAAGCCCGCUCGCCGGAAGACCAAGGGUUCCUGUCCAACGUUAAUCGGGGCAGGGUGAGUCGACCCCUAAGGCGAGGCCGAAAGGCGUAGUCGAUGGGAAACAGGUUAAUAUUCCUGUACUUGGUGUUACUGCGAAGGGGGGACGGAGAAGGCUAUGUUGGCCGGGCGACGGUUGUCCCGGUUUAAGCGUGUAGGCUGGUUUUCCAGGCAAAUCCGGAAAAUCAAGGCUGAGGCGUGAUGACGAGGCACUACGGUGCUGAAGCAACAAAUGCCCUGCUUCCAGGAAAAGCCUCUAAGCAUCAGGUAACAUCAAAUCGUACCCCAAACCGACACAGGUGGUCAGGUAGAGAAUACCAAGGCGCUUGAGAGAACUCGGGUGAAGGAACUAGGCAAAAUGGUGCCGUAACUUCGGGAGAAGGCACGCUGAUAUGUAGGUGAAGUCCCUCGCGGAUGGAGCUGAAAUCAGUCGAAGAUACCAGCUGGCUGCAACUGUUUAUUAAAAACACAGCACUGUGCAAACACGAAAGUGGACGUAUACGGUGUGACGCCUGCCCGGUGCCGGAAGGUUAAUUGAUGGGGUCAGCGCAAGCGAAGCUCUUGAUCGAAGCCCCGGUAAACGGCGGCCGUAACUAUAACGGUCCUAAGGUAGCGAAAUUCCUUGUCGGGUAAGUUCCGACCUGCACGAAUGGCGUAAUGAUGGCCAGGCUGUCUCCACCCGAGACUCAGUGAAAUUGAACUCGCUGUGAAGAUGCAGUGUACCCGCGGCAAGACGGAAAGACCCCGUGAACCUUUACUAUAGCUUGACACUGAACAUUGAGCCUUGAUGUGUAGGAUAGGUGGGAGGCUUUGAAGUGUGGACGCCAGUCUGCAUGGAGCCGGCCUUGAAAUACCACCCUUUAAUGUUUGAUGUUCUAACGUUGACCCGUGAUCCGGGUUGCGGACAGUGUCUGGUGGGUAGUUUGACUGGGGCGGUCUCCUCCUAAAGAGUAACGGAGGAGCACGAAGGUUGGCUAAUCCUGGUCGGACAUCAGGAGGUUAGUGCAAUGGCAUAAGCCAGCUUGACUGCGAGCGUGACGGCGCGAGCAGGUGCGAAAGCAGGUCAUAGUGAUCCGGUGGUUCUGAAUGGAAGGGCCAUCGCUCAACGGAUAAAAGGUACUCCGGGGAUAACAGGCUGAUACCGCCCAAGAGUUCAUAUCGACGGCGGUGUUUGGCACCUCGAUGUCGGCUCAUCACAUCCUGGGGCUGAAGUAGGUCCCAAGGGUAUGGCUGUUCGCCAUUUAAAGUGGUACGCGAGCUGGGUUUAGAACGUCGUGAGACAGUUCGGUC